rnacentral:rRNA from 1 species
UACGGGGGGGGCAAGCGUUGUUCGGAAUUACUGGGCGUAAAGGGCUCGUAGGUGGCCAACUAAGUCAGACGUGAAAUCCCUCGGCUUAACCGGGGAACUGCGUCUGAUACUGGAUGGCUUGAGUUUGGGAGAGGGACGCGGAAUUCCAGGUGUAGCGGUGAAAUGCGUAGAUAUCUGGAGGAACACCGGUGGCGAAGGCGGCCAACUGGACCAUUACUGACGCUGAGGCGCGAAAGCGUGGGGAGCAAACAGG